rnacentral:piRNA from 1 species
GGGAACGUAACUUGAAUGCUUGU